UAUUUUUAGAUGAAAUCAAAAAUACAAUAGAAAAUGAAUUAUAUAUUUUAUUUAAUAUUAAAAUUCUCACUUUUUGGAGUCCCUGAAAAUUAAGCUGUCUAAGCACACACUUAAUGGUAAACAUGUUUUAGAUAACCAAUAGUAUACAGUACAGUAAAUUCCCAUAUCAUGCACUCUCCUAUAACACAAAUUCAUAUAAUGCUAGUCCAAACCUACUUGCUGUUCAUUUCAAUUUCUGCUAAAAUAGCACUAAAAGCAAGUAACAUACAUCAAAGAUUUAUUCAGUAUAAUGUUUUUGGACUCUCAUUUGUCCCUCCUCAGUACAUAUACAAAUUAAUCUUAACAGAAUACGUACAAAAUUCUUAUGCGCUGUUGUUACAUGUUCUUUAGAACAUUUCAAACAUUUAAACUAAAGCUUCGGAACUGUCAAAGUCCUAUGUUGAGAGGGUACACUU
rnacentral:lncRNA from 1 species